GAUGAACGCUAGCGGCAGGCCUAACCAUGCAGUCGAGGGGUAACAGGGAAGCUUGCUUCCGCUGACGACCGGCGCACGGGUGCGUAACGCGUAUACAAUCUACCUUUUGCUACGGAAUAGCCCAGAGAAAUUUGGAUUAACACCGUAUAGAAUUACAACAUGGCAUCAUGAAAUAAUUAAAGGAUACGGCAAGAGAUGAGUAUGCGUCCUAUUAGCUAGUUGGUGUGGUAACGGCACACCAAGGCAACGAUAGGUAGGGGUCCUGAGAGGGAGAUCCCCCACACUGGUACUGAGACACGGACCAGACUCCUACGGGAGGCAGCAGUGAGGAAUAUUGGACAAUGGGCGCAAGCCUGAUCCAGCCAUGCCGCGUGCAGGAAGACGGCCCUAUGGGUUGUAAACUGCUUUUAUACAGGAAGAAACACCUCCUCGUGAGGGGGCUUGACGGUACUGUAAGAAUAAGGAUCGGCUAACUCCGUGCCAGCAGCCGCGGUAAUACGGAGGAUCCAAGCGUUAUCCGGAAUCAUUGGGUUUAAAGGGUCCGUA
rnacentral:rRNA from 1 species